CUCUGAGUGAUAGUCAUUACCUCUUGAAUUCUCAUCACGGCUCAUUCGGAUGGAUAGUCUGUAAUUACCAGCUUAAAAGUACAAGCAUGAAGUCUAUUUUUACGUGCGCGCUUUUUUCGAAACGUCGUUGGUGAUGGAAUGGUUGGAAAAACGUGUCUGUUGAUUUCGUACAAAGACAACCAAUUUCCCGAAGAGUACGUACCGACAGUAUUUGAAAAUUACGCGGAAGUUAUCAAGGUGGAUGACCAGGAAUAUAAUGU